UACGUAGGAGGCAAGCGUUGUCCGGAAUUACUGGGCGUAAAGCGCGUGUAGGUGGUGGGACAAGUCUGCUGUGAAAGCGCCUGGCUUAACCGGGCGAGGUCGGCGGAAACUGUUCGACUCGAGGACGGUAGAGGGGGGUGGAAUUCCCGGUGUAGUGGUGAAAUGCGUAGAGAUCGGGAGGAGCACCUGUGGCGAAGGCGGCCCCCUGGGCCGGCCCUGACACUGAGACGCGAAGGCGUGGGGAGCGAACGGG
rnacentral:rRNA from 1 species